rnacentral:rRNA from 1 species
CGAAAGCCUGACGGAGCAACGCCGCGUGUGGGAAGAAGGCUCUUGGGCUGUCAACCACUUUUCUCAGGGAAGAAGUCCUGACGGUACCUGAGGAAUCAGCCUCGGCUAACUCCGUGCCAGCAGCCGCGGUAAUACGGAGGAGGCAAGCGUUAUCCGGAAUCAUUGGGCGUAAAGCGUUCGUAGGCGGCUGUUCAAGUCUGCUGUCAAAGCUCGGAGCUCAACUCCGAAGGGGCAGUGGAAACUGGGGAGCUAGAGGGCGGCAGGGGCAGAAGGAAUUCCCGGUGUAGCGGUGAAAUGCGUAGAGAUCGGGAAGAACACCAGAGGCGAAAGCGUUCUGCUGGGCCGCGCCUGACCCUGAGGGACGAAAGCCAGGGGAGCG